ensembl:ncRNA lncRNA:CR45424 long non-coding RNA:CR45424
GACGCACAAAGACGAGGAUCGGGAUCGGGUUCGGGGCAUAUAUGCUAUGUAUGUAUGCAAUAUAUAUGCUAUAUGAGGAGCAGCCACAGCACUGGCGGAAGUUCGCCCGGCGAUGUCACUCGUGUAAAAUAUGGCACUGGCCUUGGGAGCAGCACGCACAAUGCGACUGCGCCGUCAAGACGAUUAACAGCAGAAAAGGCAGCAAGAUCAGCCAGAGCUGGGAGAAAUAAUAAAAAGUGCUGCAACUGCAACUGUGGCCAUGAAGCCAGCGGCGUCAUCCAGAAGGAGAAGGAGCAGCACCAUAUUGUGCCCAUCUGGACCUGGCCUGCACGCGAUUGGGAUGGAGUGCUAACGAAGUUACAUUUAAUUAAAUAUAACGAUGGAUUUUCAUUUGGAACUAAUUUAUUUAUUAUCAUUAUAAUUCGAUUAAACUAA